rnacentral:rRNA from 1 species
CUCUGUGACUCCUACGGGAGGCAGCAGUGGGGAAUAUUGCACAAUGGGCGCAAGCCUGAUGCAGCCAUGCCGCGUGUGUGAAGAAGGCCUUCGGGUUGUAAAAGCACUUUCAGUUGUGAGGAAGGUGGUGUCGUUUAAUAGCGGCAUCAUUUGACGUUAGCAACAGAAGAAAGCACCGGCUAACUCCGUGCCAGCAGCCGCGGUAAUACGGAGGGUGCGAGCGUUAAUCGGAAUUACUGGGCGUAAAGCGCAUGCAGGUGGUUUGUUAAGUCAGAUGUGAAAGCCCGGGGCUCAACCUCGGAACUGCAUUUUGAAACUGGCAGACUAGAGUACUGUAGAGGGGGUAGAAUUUCAGGUGUAGCGGUGAAAUGCGUAGAGAUCUGAAGGAAUACCGGUGGCGAAGGCGGCCCCCUGGACAGAUACUGACACUCAGAUGCGAAAGCGUGGGGAGCAAACAGGAUUAGAUACCCUGGUAG